rnacentral:rRNA from 1 species
AGACACGGACCAAACUCCUACGGGAGGCAGCAAGUGAGGAAUAUGAUCAAAUGGCCGAGAGGCUGAACCAGCCAAGUCGCGUGAAGGAAGAAGGAUAUAUAAUUAGUAAACUUCUUUUAUAGGGGAAUAAAGUGGAGGACGUGUCCUUUUUUGUAUGUACCCUAUGAAUAAGCAUCGGCUAACUCCGUGCCAGCAGCCGCGGUAAUACGGAGGAUGCGAGCGUUAUCCGGAUUUAUUGGGUUUAAAGGGUGCGUAGGUGGUGAUUUAAGUCAGCGGUGAAAGUUUGUGGCUCAACCAUAAAAUUGCCGUUGAAACUGGGUUACUUGAGUGUGUUUGAGGUAGGCGGAAUGCGUGGUGUAGCGGUGAAAUGCAUAGAUAUCACGCAGAACUCCGAUUGCGAAGGCAGCUUACUAAACCAUAACUGACACUGAAGCACGAAAGCGUGGGGAUCAAACAGGAUUAGAUACCCUGGUAGUCCAUGCAGUAAACGAUGAUUACUAGGAGUUUGCGAUACAAUGUAAGCUCUACAGCGAAAGCGUUAAGUAAUCCACCUGGGGAGUACGCCGGCAACGGUGAAACUCAAAGGAAUUGACGGGGGCCCGCACAAGCGGAGGAACAUGUGGUUUAAUUCGAUGAUACGCGAGGAACCUUACCCGGGUUUGAACGUAGUCUGACCGGAGUGGAAACACUUUUUCUAGCAAUAGCAGAUUACGAGGUGCUGCAUGGUUGUCGUCAGCUCGUGCCGUGAGGUGUCGGCUUAAGUGCCAUAACGAGCGCAACCCUUAUCACUAGUUACUAACAGGUGAAGCUGAGGACUCUGGUGAGACUGCCAGCGUAAGCUGUGAGGAAGGUGGGGAUGACGUCAAAUCAGCACGGCCCUUACAUCCGGGGCGACACACGUGUUACAAUGGCAUGGACAAAGGGCAGCUACCUGGCGACAGGAUGCUAAUCUCCAAACCAUGUCUCAGAUCGGAUCGGAGUCUGCAACUCGACUCCGUGAAGCUGGAUUCGCUAGUAAUCGCGCAUCAGCCAUGGCGCGGUGAAUACGUUCCCGGGCCUUGCACUCAACGCCCGUC